rfam:Marine metagenome ctg_1101667389942, whole genome shotgun sequence.
AAUAACCAAGAAUAACUCUUGGAUCUAAAGUUGGGUUAACAAGUCUGACUUCACCACCGCCUGGUGCCCAUGUGUCAUAUGCACCGCCAAUAAAACACCAGUUAACUGACCAUGCUAACGCACCUACACCCAAAACAAUCAAAUGAUAUCCAAGGAUAUUUGUCAUUUGGUUUUUGUCUCUCCA